UCACGUAAUGGCCAAAUGGAAAUGGGCAGGUCAUUUCUAACCUGUAGAGUCAUUACUUCAUACAUCCCCAUACCUUGGAACUGACUUGUUUUUUGCGGUGAUACUUUUUACAGUUUCAAGUAUAAAGUUUACAGAAUUUGCAUCUCUCUGUUUUAUUUAUUUUUUUAUACAAAGCAUGUACAUGCACAGUACUGGUAUGCCUGGCUGCUUCUGUCCCUGGGUUUGCUCAUGUUGCUCUUGUUUUGCUCUCUUGACUUUGGUUUAGUAUUUCCUCUUUUAUUUUGAAACCCUGGCUCUCAUGUAUCUGUCCUUAGUUACUUCCUGUCUUUGUCUGGUCUCCAUCCAUCCAUCUUCUAUAUCCCUUGAUCUGUCAGGGUUGUGAGGGAGCUGGAGCCUAUCCCAGCUGACUGGUCACCACACAAAGACAGACAACCACACACGCACACACUCACACCUAGGGGCAAUGUAGAGUUGCCAAUUAACCUAAUGUGCAUGGUUUGGGGAUUUUUGGGAGAACAUGCAAACUCGGCACAGAAGAGCCCUUCUCCGACAGGAGAAGCCUGGACACCGAGCAGAGAGUGAGUCAGAUCUCAGCGGACAAGGCCGUGAGCAGAGAAGUGACAUCCAUGUGGCAUUCGUCUGCACAGAGAAUGAGUCACAUGAGGACAAUGUCAGGCCUCUGACCUGGAUCGAGGAACAGGGACCGGCCUUACCUAGGGCCAAGAACAUCAACUUUAAGUCUGACUCCUGCACUCUGACCCAAAUCCCUCCUGGACCCAGAGGAGUUGUGGGCCUCUUCAUGCAGGACCUGAUCCACUUCUCUGCCAAGCUGACAGGCCAAAAAGAAAGACCUCUGUUCAGCUGUGAAUGAUGAGGAGUUGGACCUUAUUAUAAGUGAAGUCCACAGAAGACAUCCAAACGGCAGCUACAAGUUAAUGUGGGGUCAUCCGAAUGCAAGAGGUUUGCGUGUUCCAAUCUCAAGACUGCAAGAGUCUUUACACAGAGCUCAUGCAGAAGGAGUCUACAUGAGACGUCUAAGGCUGCGUGUAUUAAGAUGACGGCAGUAUUCUGUUCCUGGCCCAAAAUCUUUGUGGCAUAUAGAUGACAACCAUAAGCUAAUCAGGUGGAGAUUUGUUGUCCAUGAUGGGGUGGAUGGAGGGGUGGAUGGAUUCAGUCAGUUAGUUGUCUACCUGACUGUGGCUGGCAAUAAUAGAGCUUGUAUGGUCUUACAGAGCUUUAUCGCUGCUGUUGAGCAGUAUGGGCUCUGAUAAAGUGGGGGAGAAUGCAGACGUAGCAGAAUUCAUGAUCAGGAGCAGAGGUACUGACAGGAACUCGCACAUCACAGGCAGAAGUGUCUACAAUCAGCGAAUAGAGAGGAUGUGGAGAGAUGUUUAUGAACAUGCCCUGGACCUCUUCUAUCAGACUUUUACUUCAUUGGAAGAUCAGGCUACACUGAACCCAGACAAUGAAGUCCAUCUUUUCGCACUGCACCGGAUCUUCCUUCCACUAAUCCAGCAAAGCCUUGACUCCUUCAGAGAUGCUUGGAACUUUCAUGGUCUUAGAACUGAAAGGAAUCAGUCACCACAGCAACUCUGGAGAAUACAUACAGAGAGCAAGGCCCUGUGGAGGAUCCUACUGAGGUUAAACAAGGAUCAACUUUUAACAUUUUUUUAAUCUGUCUGUUUCCCCAAAGGAAUUGUGGGAGAAAAUAAUGACAUGAAAUGAGAAUAAUAAACAUAGGUUAU